CCCAGCCCCCGCGCUCGGCCCGGCCCCGCUCGGCGGCGUGUCGGGAGGAAGCGCCGGCCGCGCGGCCGCCGGCCCCUCGGUUCGCCCGCCCCCCGUCUCCUCCCCUUCGCAGCCGAUCCUCCGCCCCCUCCUCCUCCCGCUGGCGGCGGCGGCGGCUUUCUCGGCCCGGCUCCCCGCUCUUCCCCGCGGCUUCGCCUCGCUCUUCAGCGGGAGGCUCCGCGCCGCGCCGGCGAAGACGGCAGUGCUGCAAGGAGCCUCUGGGAGUUCUGGAGGGAAGAGACCAGCCUCCUUUUGGAGACCUUUGCUACGGGUGAAGACCGUCAAACAAGUCAAGCAGAUACAGCAGGAGCUCAGAAGUUUUACAUCAAGAUCCAGCAGCCGACAGUGAUCAGCUCUGCAAGCGCUCACCCUUGA
rnacentral:lncRNA from 1 species